AGAUUUAAUGUCUACCACCCAUUUGAAUGGGACUUGAAGAAUAAAUUCAGUUCAGUUAUAGAACAAGUAUUUUUUGCAUGUUCAUUCCACAUCUGUAGCUCCAGCUCAGAUCUCUCUGUGCAUUCUAGACUUACAUCUGAGUUAGAUUAGGCUUUUCAGCCUCAAGCUGAGCAUGCCCAAAACUAAAGCCAUCUCUGCUCAUUGUCUCAUCUUCACCCCUCAACUAAAAUCUGUUCUUCUUGUCUUCCCUAUUUUUCUAAAUCUUGUCCACAUCCAAUAAGUUGUCUGGGGCAGAAACCAGGUAUUGUGUGAGGGGGUGUAGUUCAGAAAAUGCUAAAGGUCAAAAACAAACUAAGGCAUAUCCAUUCUGUUAACAACCAUAUAUACUGGGCUUCACAGGUGAGUUACUUUAAGAACUGGGCAUCCUUUUAAAAUAGUUUGAAAAACCACUGUACAGGAGAGGAUGUGAUGCAGUGGAGUAGAAGAGCCUAGAAACCCUUCCAUACAAGCCAAAGCCACUGAAAAGCCUGGAGAUUGGGGUCGGACUAGAGAGUGGGGUCCACUGCUGGAGGAGGCAGCUGGAGAGGAGGAUGGGAGUUGCUGAGUGUGGCAGAGGUGAAUGGCCAAAGGGAAGAGGGUUCAGGGAACAUUUUUCAUUGGCUGUUUUGGUCUUUAUCCAAAUAUUUGAGGGCAGGCAAAGUGACUGAGCCUGAGCUGCAUCAAGAAGGGCCCAGGGCAUCAGACUGUCUGCUCCUUCCUGGACAAAGCUCACGAUUCUCCAUGGCUCUCCAGGAAUCCAUGGGGCUGGAUGUCUACAAGAUGUGUUUUGAACCCACAGCCUACCUGGGCUACUUCAAGAUGGGCCAGAGCUCUGUGGGUGAUGAGUUCCUCCAUUUCCUGCUAAAAUGCUACAACACCGCUUUUAAAUCAGGUAACACAAACGAAGGGGAAACAAACAAAAUGUAGCAGCAGAAUCCAGGAGCAGGUGGUGCUCAACGAAUGUUUGCUGAUUGAGCUUUGGAAUGUUACUUAACACAGACAAGAACCGCCUCGAGCUGGAAAAGUGGCUAGAGAAGAUCCCAGGGGCAUUGGACUGGUCCCCAGUGGUGAGAUCUGUGGGUGAGUUUGAGGAGGACAGGUCAGGGGUUUGUUGUUUGCCUGGGAUCGCCAUGAUGCAAGCUUCACUUAACUCCCAGAAUCAAGAAUUUUUCAUGGGGCUCGUGUAGAAAUGGCAAAGCAGGGGGAGACUAAGAAGGAAGGAAGUGGGGGCGGGGGUUCCAAAAAGAAAGGAGGAAGAGUGAGAGAUGAAUCCGAUAAAGAGCAAAAGAGGGAAGAGAAAUAGAUGGCUGUAGACAGACCCAGAGCCAGAGGGAAUUGUCACGAACGCCCACCCAGAAGGCCAGGGCCUGCGCCCCCGCGCUGACAUAGACCUGUGAUAGACAGACGUUCUGAUGGGCAGGCGCCCCUGUUGUUCCAGUUAUAGCCUCCAGGUGGCGCCAAACUUGUGGCAUCUUUCUGCCCAUCGCAGGAGGUGGGCAUAGAAUUAAGACCAAUCUUGCAUGCAAGUGAACAGACUCUACUUACCUUGGAUAAUUUCAGGGCAGCAGGAAGGUCCACCGUAGCACCUCCACUCCCCAAAUACCACUGUCCCCAGUUAGGUAAGACGGUUGAAGUUGUAUAUUAGAUUCUUAUGUCUUUUGCUUAAGCCUGUGAUUUUUUUAAAGAUUUUACUUAUUUUUUUGACAGAGAGAGAGAGAGCACAAGCGAGGGGAA